UACGGGGGGAGCAAGCGUUAUCCGGAUUUACUGGGUUUAAAGGGUGCGUAGGUGGAUAAUUAAGUCAGUGGUGAAAUCUUCAGGCUUAACCUGGAAACUGCCAUUGAUACUAUUUAUCUUGAAUACUUUGGAGGUAAGCGGAAUAUGUCAUGUAGCGGUGAAAUGCUUAGAUAUGACAUAGAACACCAAUUGCGAAGGCAGCUUACUACACAGUAAUUGACACUGAGGCACGAAAGCGUGGGGAUCAAACAGG
rnacentral:rRNA from 1 species